rnacentral:rRNA from 1 species
GGCUCAGGAUGAACGCUAGCUACAGGCUUAACACAUGCAAGUCGAGGGGAAACGAUAUUGGAAGCUUGCUUCCGAUAGGCGUCGACCGGCGCACGGGUGAGUAACGCGUAUCCAACCUGCCCACCACUUGGGGAUAACCUUGCGAAAGUAAGACUAAUACCCAAUGAUAUCUCUAGAAGACAUCUGAAAGAGAUUAAAGAUUUAUCGGUGAUGGAUGGGGAUGCGUCUGAUUAGCUUGUUGGCGGGGUAACGGCCCACCAAGGCGACGAUCAGUAGGGGUUCUGAGAGGAAGGUCCCCCACAUUGGAACUGAGACACGGUCCAAACUCCUACGGGAGGCAGCAGUGAGGAAUAUUGGUCAAUGGACGAGAGUCUGAACCAGCCAAGUAGCGUGCAGGACGACGGCCCUAUGGGUUGUAAACUGCUUUUAUGCGGGGAUAAAGUGGGCCACGCGUGGCCUUUUGCAGGUACCGCAUGAAUAAGGACCGGCUAAUUCCGUG